rnacentral:misc_RNA from 1 species
AAGUCGUAACAAGGUUUCCGUAGGUGAACCUGCGGAAGGAUCAUUACCGAGUCUUGAACGGGUUGUAGCUGGCCUUUCGAGGUAUGUGCACGCCCGGCUCAAUCCACUCUACACCUGUGCACUCACUGUGGGCUUUGGAUCGUGUAAGAAGCGGCCCGAGCCUACGUUUAUUAUAAACUCUUAAAAGUAUUAGAACGCAUAUUUAUGAUGUAACGCAUCUAUAUACAACUUUCAGCAACGGAUCUCUUGGCUCUC